rnacentral:tRNA from 1 species
GCUAUGAUAGUUUAAUUUAAGAAUAUAUAACUUGUAAUUAUAAGGUUUUUUAGUAGCU